GUAUGUGUUAGUUUCGGUCAUACAUUUCUUGUAGGGUGGUUAGUUUCCUAUAAAAAAUAAAGAAAAAUGCAAAAUAAAUAAAUUACGAAGUCCAUAGACGUUUUUAUUUAUCUAUUUUGUGCUUACACGAAUUUAGAAAAUCCAAUUUAAUCAAUAGCAAAAACAUUUUAAUAAAAAAUAUAUUUGUAUGUGGAGAAAAGGGAAAACUAAUCGCUUCAGUCUGUUUUGUCUAGGGAAAGACGAGAAGAACUUUUAAAUGGAAGAAAAUCGUGAUUCCCCAACAACCUCUAGCCGAAUAACAACGAAAGCUAAAAUUGAGUCCAAUAUGGAAUCAAUGGAGGGAUCUACAGAUGUUGGGACAGACGAUAAGUAUACAGCAAGUGAAAAGACCACACCCGAAACCAGACAUCGUUCCGUUGAUGACAUCAAGAGGUCUGUUAAUGUCAAGGAUAUACAACGUUCAAACUCAAAUGAUUCUGGCAGUUCGGCCAUACAGGUGUAUCAAGAUAUUGAAACGUUUGUUGCUGCUCUACCCUCAACUUCACAGGUGACAACAACUUCUGAUGGCGUUAGUGAAGACGAUCAAACUCAGUCACAGAGUCAACAGUGCCAGCUUUUGCAGCAGCAAGACAGUGGAGACACUGAACGCAGUUGUUGGAUAUGUUUUGCUUCAGAUGAAGAUAAUCGUCUAGCAGCCUGGGUACAACCUUGCAAAUGUCGCGGCUCUACAAAGUGGGUACAUCAGAGCUGUCUCUACCGUUGGGUAGAUGAAAAACAAAAGGGAAAUGCCCUGCGUACUGUUAGUUGUCAACAAUGUCAAACGGAAUAUAUAAUAGUCUUUCCACACAUGGGAAAAGUGGCCAAUAUUUUGGAAGCCUUUGAUAAUCUAAUAAAACGUGUUAGUCCCUUCUUAGCGGCUGGUAUUUUCGUGGGCUCCCUAUACUGGACCGCUGUUACAUAUGGUGCUGUUACAUUUUUGCAGAUUGUGGGCCAUAAAAAAGGUUUGGCUCUAAUGGAGAAUGGUGAUCCGCUUAUUUUACUGAUUGGUCUUCCAGCCAUACCAGUUUUCUUGGUUCUUGGUCGCAUGAUUCGUUGGGAAGAUGCUGUCAUACGAUUGAUUCGUAAUCGUCGUAAUGUUGCUCGUAAAUUGCCUCUAAUGAGUUUCAUUAUACCAUAUCCCGAAGAAGAUGAAGAACAAACUGCACAAAAUCCUGCAACUCCUACACUUUCGGAUCCCGUAUCGGCUACAAGAGUUUUUUGCGGUGCUUUACUGCUGCCAACAAUUUCAUCAAUUGUGGGACGUUUGUUAUUUGAAUCAAUUGAGAAUACCUUACAUCGCACUUUAUUAGGUGGUUUAACAUUUAUAACCGUUAAAGGAAUUUUAAAAAUCUACUUGAAACAACAACAAUAUACACGUAAAAAGAAACGUCAUAUAGUCGAUUAUACUGAAGAAAAUGUACGAACUUAUGUUAAUCGUAAUUCGUCAUCAAGAAAUCAAGGAGCUGCUGCCGCAUAUGCAGCCGCUGCAGCAGCAGCUGCUGCUGAUGGCGCUCAACAACAGCAGCAACAACAACAACAGCAGCAACAGCAACAACAAGCUUAUGUGCCAAGACCAAAUACACGAGAUAGUAUGGUGUAAACAAACAAUUUAAAUAUUUAACAAAAUUACGUUAAUUAAAGGAAAAAUGGAUCUCAUCACAUUAUGGUUCAUCAACAUUUGCCUCAACAAAAUCCUAUCAAAAUCAAACCGCUUCUACAAAAUCGAUCUCAUCAUCAUCAUCAUCGGCCAAUACAAGACAACGUGACAAAAUGGAAACCUAU